rnacentral:siRNA from 1 species
AUGACGCUGUAAGAGCCUGAUGGC